rnacentral:lncRNA from 1 species
ACUGGUUAUUUUAGAGCAGACACAAAAGUCUGGGUCUCUCUGUAUCGCUCAGGCUGCACUGCAGUGUCUAUUCACAGGCGCGAUCCCACUACUGAUCGACACGGGGACCUGCUCCGUCUCCGACCUGGGCCGGUUCACCCCUCCUUAGACGACCUGGUGGUCCCGAGCUCCCCCAGGAACACCAUAUCGAUACCGAACUUAGUGUGGACACCUGAUCAACAUAGUCCACUGCAGCCCAGAACCCCUGAACUCAAGCGAUCCGCCAGCCUCAGUCUCCCAGCAGCUUGGAUUACAGGCGCGCGCCACUGCACCCGACGAGAGCUGCAGCAUCAGCGCUGAUACUCAAUCUAGAGAUCACUGACACCUCGAGUACAGCACAGCAGAAUAUUAUGUUUUGGCAAUUAAUUUGAAGUAUGCACAUUUUCUCUGCAGCACACUCAAUGAUUAUAAUAUAAUAUAAAACAUUACCAUAUAAAAGUUCUGUAAUCUAUUUUGCCUACCAGUCAACAGUUUAAGAACAGUAAGAUUUUAUUUAUGUUUUUAAAGAAGUCUCUUCUGCUCACCAAACCUGCAUUGAUUUGAUCCAGAACACAGCAAAAGCAGUAAUAUUGUGAAUUAAUUGUACUAUUUAAAACAACAGUUUUCUAUUUGAAUAUGUUUUAAAAUGUAAUUUAUUCCUGUGACCAAAGCUGUAUUUUCAGCAUCAUUACUCCAGUCUUCAGUGUCUCAUCCUUCAGAAAUCAUUCUAAUAUGCUGAUUUGCUGAUUAUCAAUAUUUAAAACAUAUGAGUACAUUUUUCAGUAUUCUUUGAUGAAUAGAGUGGUUUCCAAAGAUCAGCAUUUAUUUGAAAUAAAAAGCUUUUGCAACAUUAUUUA